rnacentral:lncRNA from 1 species
AUGGCACCGCUGAGAGGCUGGCACUGCAGGCCAGGCCUCAACGCGCCAGUGAGUGAACUCAGAGAAGUUUGGAGGCUUGUCCCUAACCACGUGCCAGCUCUUUGGUGCCCCCGAGGCAGAACCACGUCAGGAGCGCAGCCAGUCAUCCCUCAGACCGCCGCCAUGUGUUCAAGUCAAACUGCUACAGACUCCAAGAUGGUCUCCAGCACAGGGAUUCCCAAACUGUGCUCAGCAGACCUAAGGCUAUGUGAGGAUGUUUGGCCUGAUGAACCAAUGUUCAUUUCCAUUUUUGAGGAAUGCAGCUGAUGAAAGUAAGAUAAAGCUAAGAGGAAAAGAAAAGCUAAGGAAGUUUAAAACGCAUGCAUAUUUUUAUAACAAUUCUUCCAUGCAUUAGUGGCUGUACCAGCAACAGAGGUAUAAUGUGAUCCGAGUUGAAAAGGAACAGGACUUGAUAUUGAGUGAGAAAAGAGGUCAUGGCAUGAUCUCUGUGUGGUGGUGUCAUCAAUAGUACUGAACAGACAGCAUGGUGAGCAGUGGGACUUGAGGUGGGACACCUUCCCUGCACGGGCUCUCUGUUGCCUGACACCCAUACUGCCCUCUCUGUGUGGACUUCCUCAGCUAAGUGCUAAUUUGGACAUCUCUUGUAGUCAUUAAAUUGGAGAACAUAAAUAUUGUUGGUGUCUCAAUCUCUUGUUAUAUUCAGCUGAAGCUGAUCUAUGGUUACAAAUGUUAGAGCGAGAUGAGGUGAGCCAGCUUUCUUCAAGAAGCCAAGAUAAAAGAGGUGAGACUGUCAGCCAACAAAACUAGGGAAAGUUAAACUUCACUUAUCUGAUGAAAAGCAAGCACAAUAAAUCUUUCAGAAAGAAAAACA